rnacentral:rRNA from 1 species
AGUGAACGCUGGCGGUAGGCCUAACACAUGCAAGUCGAACGGCAGCACAGUAAGAGCUUGCUCUUACGGGUGGCGAGUGGCGGACGGGUGAGGAAUACAUCGGAAUCUACUUUUUCGUGGGGGAUAACGUAGGGAAACUUACGCUAAUACCGCAUACGACCUACGGGUGAAAGCAGGGGAUCUUCGGACCUUGCGCGAUUGAAUGAGCCGAUGUCGGAUUAGCUAGUUGGCGGGGUAAAGGCCCACCAAGGCGACGAUCCGUAGCUGGUCUGAGAGGAUGAUCGGCCACACUGGAACUGAGACACGGUCCAGACUCCUACGGGAGGGAGCAGUGGGGAAUAUUGGACAAUGGGCGGAAGCCUUAUCCAGUCAUACCGCGUGGGUGAAGAAGGCCUUGGGGUUGUAAAGACCUUUUGUUGGGUAAGAAAAGCAGCAGGUUAAUACGCCGCUGUUCUGACGGUACCCAAAGAAUAAGCACCGGCUAACUUCGUG